CGGCUCUUUAGGCCCAGCGAAUGACUUCUGUUUUACGGAUAGGAGGGAUGGGUGCCCGUGACUGCCGGAGGGCACGCAGCUGGCCGGCCUCUGUUGACCAUGACGCAGCUGUAUUCACUCCUAUGCCCCUCCUAGCCUUCUCAGCGUGGUUCCUUGUUGAGUUUCAAAGAGGCUCAUGGGACAUAAUCUAAACACAGCCCUCAACACCCUGAUCCCCCGCCCUCACCUCCUGACCUGUCAAGCCUGCAGCUUCAUAAUCGUGAGAUGAAGCAGAGCAAGAAUAUCGGCUACAGACUGGAUGAGAUCCUCCUGGUAAACACCUAAUCAGCCCUCCCAACCUCAGCAUCACGCCUUCGGCAGCGUGAUCUCCCAGGUUCUUCUCCAACCACGGCGUGCCAUGUCUCCUGCAUCUGCUUUUCCCACCAGGCCUUGGAAUCUCUUCCGUGCCAUUUGGGAGAUGUGAAGGUCCUCACCGUUACUCCUGUACUUGACACGGGACACCACGCGUGGCAGUUGGUCUGAUGCCCAAGAUGGCGACUUAGCGUGGCUCUGCGUGAGCAGCGUGCACUUUGUGGAUACAACGGACAGAAAAACCCGGUUCGUG
ensembl:lncRNA